rnacentral:rRNA from 1 species
UACAGAGGUCUCAAGCGUUGUUCGGAUUCAUUGGGCGUAAAGGGUGCGCAGGCUGUGUGGUAAGUCAGGUGUGAAAUUUAGGGGCUUAACCCCUAAACUGCACUUGAUACUGUCAUGCUAGAGGACUGUAGAGGAGAUUGGAAUUCACGGUGUAGCAGUGAAAUGCGUAGAUAUCGUGAGGAAGACCAGUGGCGAAGGCGAAUCUCUGGGCAGUUCCUGACGCUCAUGCACGAAGGCUAGGGGAGCAAACGGG